rnacentral:pre_miRNA from 1 species
UUGUCAUCAACAUGAUGAUGAUGAUGGUGACGAUGAUGAUGAUGAUAAUCAUCAUCAUCAUCAUCAUCAUCAUCAUCAUCAUCAUCAUCAUAAUCA